ACGGGUGAGUAAUGCCUAGGAAUCUGCCUGGUAGUGGGGGAUAACGCUCGGAAACGGACGCUAAUACCGCAUACGUCCUACGGGAGAAAGCAGGGGACCUUCGGGCCUUGCGCUAUCAGAUGAGCCUAGGUCGGAUUAGCUAGUUGGUGAGGUAAUGGCUCACCAAGGCGACGAUCCGUAACUGGUCUGAGAGGAUGAUCAGUCACACUGGAACUGAGACACGGUCCAGACUCCUACGGGAGGCAGCAGUGGGGAAUAUUGGACAAUGGGCGAAAGCCUGAUCCAGCCAUGCCGCGUGUGUGAAGAAGGUCUUCGGAUUGUAAAGCACUUUAAGUUGGGAGGAAGGGCAGUUACCUAAUACGUAUCUGUUUUGACGUUACCGACAGAAUAAGCACCGGCUAACUCUGUGCCAGCAGCCGCGGUAAUACAGAGGGUGCAAGCGUUAAUCGGAAUUACUGGGCGUAAAGCGCGCGUAGGUGGUUUGUUAAGUUGGAUGUGAAAUCCCCGGGCUCAACCUGGGAACUGCAUUCAAAACUGACAAGCUAGAGUAUGGUAGAGGGUGGUGGAAUUUCCUGUGUAGCGGUGA
rnacentral:rRNA from 1 species